rnacentral:rRNA from 1 species
AACGAACGCUGGCGGCAGGCUUAACACAUGCAAGUCGAGCGCCCCGCAAGGGGGGCGGCAGACGGGUGAGUAACGCGUGGGAAUCUACCCAUCUCUACGGAAUAACGCAUGGAAACGUGUGCUAAUACCGUAUACGUCCUUCGGGAGAAAGAUUUAUCGGAGAUGGAUGAGCCCGCGUUGGAUUAGCUAGUUGGUGGGGUAAAGGCCUACCAAGGCGACGAUCCAUAGCUGGUCUGAGAGGAUGAUCAGCCACACUGGGACUGAGACACGGCCCAGACUCCUACGGGAGGCAGCAGUGGGGAAUAUUGGACAAUGGGCGCAAGCCUGAUCCAGCCAUGCCGCGUGAGUGAUGAAGGCCCUAGGGUUGUAAAGCUCUUUCACCGGUGAAGAUAAUGACGGUAACCGGAGAAGAAGCCCCGGCUAACUACGUGCCAGCCGCCGCAGUAAGAC